GAGGGGGGCGGCGGGGCUCGGCCGGGGGCCGCAUGCUGCCGCUGCGGCGGUGCCCAGCGCGGCAGGGACUGCGCGGCCGGCCCGGCGACAAGGAUGCGGCAGAUCCGGCUUCCUGGAGGAGGGGCCGCCGCCCGGGCAGGGCAGGGCAGGGCAGGGCAGGGCAGGGCCCCGCUCCGCCGCCUCAGGUGCGGAGGGGCUGGGCCAGAAGACGCGGAGUCUCGGCCGUGCUGCGCAGCUCCUCGGCGGCUCCUCGCAGCUCCGCACAGCGGGCGCCGGGCGGCGUCCCGGGAGGGAUCCCCGCGCAGGGCCGCGCCCGCCCACUCUCUUGGCGGCUCCGCGGCGGCCCCCGCCCGCCUCGGCGCUCCGCUACCGGCGCAGUCCCGGGCCGGGACAGCUCCCGCUGUCGGGCGGGGCGCUUUGGGGCGGGGCAGCGGGACUGGGGCGCAUCCCCUCGGGCCGCCCGGGCCGGGCUGACAGCGCGGCGGCCCCGGCCCCGUGCCCGCGCUGCGCCCCGCCGGCCGCGCGGGGGCGCCCUCCCGGCGGGCCGGGCGGUGCCGCGCGCUGCCGCGCGCCCCGGAAGGCCCCGGCGAGCCAUGGCCGCGCUGUCCCGCACGCUCGGCAUCUUCGGCGCCUUCGUGGCCGUGGUGGGAGCCGCCUUCUACCCCAUUUAUUUCCGGCCGCUGCUGCUGCCGGAGGAGUACAGUGAGUCCGUGCGCGGGGGGAGCUGGCUGGGCCAUGGCGCGGUCUGUGCCGGGGCUUGGGGGAAUGCUGGGGCGUCUGCUCGAGAAUGAGCAGUCAAUAAACCGAGCUGGUAUUGUUCAAGAGGAUAUUCAGCCUGCAGGGUUAAAAGUGUGGUCGGAUCCAUUUGGAAGAAAGUAAUUGGCAGCUGGGUGUAUUGCAAAACUGAAGAUGGACGUCUUCAGCUGCUUCUUCUUUCACUGAAGUGUGUCUUUAGGUGUCACUGGAGCAGAAUUCUGAAUAUGCUGUGUGGGCACAUGAGGAGCAACAAAGGCUACUGGUUGGAAUCCCAAGAGAUAAAAACAUGCUAGUUUUGAGAGAGAAUGCUGGUGCGUAGCUCACAGACUGUUAGAAAGCUGAAUGAUUAGUGAGUAUAGAAAUGAAAUAUUUACAUCCUUGAGAAAAGGAAAAAGGAUUUUCUUCUAAUCUGUACACUUGUAAGUUAUGGAUAGAAUUAAUCAUGCAGACUGCUGGAAUUUCCUCCCUAGUUUGAAAGUUACAACACAGUGAAUGUAAAUUUGUACAUUAAAAAAUUUAAACCAA